GUGAGGAAUAUUGGACAAUGGGCGCAAGCCUGAUCCAGCCAUGCCGCGUGCAGGAAGACGCAUCUAUGGUGUGUAAACUGCUUUUGUACGGGAAGAAACACUCCCUCGUGAGGGAGCUUGACGGUACCGUAAGAAUAAGGAUCGGCUAACUCCGUGCCAGCAGCCGCGGUAAUACGGAGGAUCCAAGCGUUAUCCGGAAUCAUUGGGUUUAAAGGGUCCGUAGGCGGUUUAAUAAGUCAGUGGUGAAAGCCCAUCGCUCAACGAUGGAACGGCCAUUGAUACUGUUAGACUUGAAUUACAAGGAAGUAACUAGAAUAUGUAGUGUAGCGGUGAAAUGCUUAGAUAUUACAUGGAAUACCAAUUGCGAAGGCAGGUUACUACUUGUGGAUUGACGCUGAUGGACGAAAGCGUGGGGAGCGAACAGGAUUAGAUAACCUAGUAGUCC
rnacentral:rRNA from 1 species